rnacentral:lncRNA from 1 species
UGUAAUCUGACAUUUAAAAAACCAUAAACAGUAUAUUAAAACCUGUCUAAACUAGUAAAUGCCCUUAGUAUAUUAGCAACAUACAAAAUUAACAUUCAAGUAUAAGUUAUGGUUCCAUACACUUAAACUAUCUGAUAGAAGAGAGGAAGAAAACAAUCUUAUUUACAAUAGCAUUAGAAUAAUAAAUUUCUGAACACAAAUUUAACCAAGGAGGUAAAAAGUAUUUACAAUGCUGGUCUUGAACUCCUGACAGGUGAUCUGCCUGCCUCGGCCUCUCAAAGUGCUAGGAUUACAGGCAUGAUCCACCUUGCCCAAAAUAUUAUUUUAAUAUGUGAGCAAUGUAUAAUUAUGAAUGAUAUAUAUUUAUAUAUAACAUAUAAUUAUGUAUCUAUAUAUUGCAUUAUUCUAUGUAUUUUUAUCCAUAUUAUAUAUAGAUAUUUUUAUAACGUGGGCUUUAUUUAUGGAGACAGCAGCAUUCUUAAAGAAAAGCAGAAGCAUUCAACACCAUUUGAGCCCAGGCCCCAAACUAGCCCACUGUCAUGUUCACAAGUAUCUAAUGCCUUGAGCAAAUAAGGCUAGCCAGA